GGACCCGAUGGCGUAAUGGUAGCGCGUCUGACUCCAGAUCAGAAGGUUGCGUGUUCAAAUCACGUUCGGGCCA